rnacentral:rRNA from 1 species
CCUAACACAUGCAAGUCGAACGAGAUCUUCGGAUCUAGUGGCGCACGGGUGCGUAACGCGUGGGAAUCUGCCCUUGGGUUCGGAAUAACAGUGAGAAAUUACUGCUAAUACCGGAUGAUGUCUUCGGACCAAAGAUUUAUCGCCCAGGGAUGAGCCCGCGUAGGAUUAGGUAGUUGGUGGGGUAAUGGCCUACCAAGCCGACGAUCCUUAGCUGGUCUGAGAGGAUGAUCAGCCACACUGGGACUGAGACACGGCCCAGACUCC